CACAUGUAAGGCGUGCUUGUUGUAGCAGGAUUCAACUAUCAAGCUUUGAAUUGUAAAUUUUUCUCAGCACCAGUGGUAACAGUACCUGCAUCUACAUCUGCAUUACUGCUAUCAGUCUUCAGGAUUAACCACCUGACUUCUGUGGAAUAUUCCAAGUGUAUUCUGACACAGAACACAAUUGCUUUCCUGGUGUAUGCAUAUUACCAGGGACUGGUUUAACUGAAUAUGAAGGGGCAGAUUCAACAUUGCCUUGUGGUCCCUUUGUGCUGACUAUACCAGUUUGCCAUGGAUAAAGGGUGGGUGUAAGGCCCAUGUGGUGAUAGCAUGGGGAGACUAUAUGCCCGGUUCAGAGCUGAUACCAUCAUCUCUGCACUGCUUCUGCAGAAGACUCCAUCAUAAAGAAUGUUCC
rnacentral:lncRNA from 1 species